rnacentral:misc_RNA from 1 species
GAUGAAGAACGUAGUGAAAUGCGAUAAGUAAUGUGAAUUGCAGAAUUCAGUGAAUCAUCGAAUCUUUGAACGCACAUUGCGCCCGCCAGUAUUCUGGCGGGCAUGCCUGUUCGAGCGUCAUUUCAACCAUCAAGCCCCAGGCUUGUGUUGGAGCCCUGCGGCUGCCGCAGCCUCCCAAAAUCAGUGGCGGGCUCGCUAUCACACCGAGUGCAGUAGUUUACUCUUCGCUCAGGGCGUGUGGCGGGUGCUAGCCGUAAAACCCCCAACUUCUCAAGGUUGACCUCGGAUCAGGUAGGAAUACCCGCUGAACUUAAGCAUAUCAAUAAGCGGAGGA